GGACGAACGCUGGCGGCGUGCCUAACACAUGCAAGUCGAGCGGAGUCAUUUGGAGGAAGUUUUUGGAUGGAAUCCGGAUGAUUUAGCGGCGGACGGGUGAGUAACGCGUGAGCGACCAACCUUGCACAGGGGGAUAACGGACCGAAAGGUUCACUAAUACCGCAUGAGACCACGGUGUUGCAUGACACAGGGGUCAAAGGAGAAAUCCGGUGCAAGACGGGCUCGCGUCCGAUUAGGUAGUUGGUGCGGUAACGGCGCACCAAGCCCAUGAUCGGUAGCCGACCUGAGAGGGUGAUCGGCCACAUUGGAACUGAGACACGGUCCAGACUCCUACGGGAGGCAGCAGUGAGGAAUCUUGCGCAAUGGGGGAAACCCUGACCGAGCAACGCCGCGUGAGUGAUGAAGGUCUUCGGAUUGUAAAGCUCUGUUAUAAGGGAAGAACGGCAGUUAGAGGAAAUGCUAGCUGUUUGACGGUACUUUAUGAGAAAGCCACGGCUAACUACGUGCCAGCAGCCGCGGUAAUACGUAGGUGGCAAGCGUUAUCCGGAAUUAUUGGGCGUAAAGAGUGAGCAGGCGGCAGUUUAAGUUUGGAGUCAAAGCGAGGGGCUNNNNCCCUUAACNNNCUGAAAACUGAACAGCUAGAGUGCGAGAGAGGUAAGUGNAAUUCCAUGUGUAGCGGUGAAAUGNNUAGAUAUAUGGAGGAACACCAGUGGCGAAGGCGACUUACUAGCUCGAUACUGACGCUCAGUCACGNNNNCGUGGGUAGCAAAUAGGAUUAGAUACCCUAGUAGUCCACGCUGUAAACGAUGAGAACUAAGUAUUGCCGUGAGGCAGUGCUGAAGCUAACGCAUUAAGUUCUCCGCCUGGGGAGUACGGUCGCAAGACUGAAACUUAAAGGAAUUGACGGGGCCCCGCACAAGCAGUGGAGCAUGUGGUUUAAUUCGACGCUACGCGAAGAACCUUACCAGGACUUGACAUGGAAUUAAAGACCCUAGAAAUAGGGGGAUAGUCAUAGUUCACACAGGUGGUGCAUGGUUGUCGUCAGCUCGUGUCGUGAGAUGUUAGGUUAAGUCCUGCAACGAGCGCAACCCUCGUCCUUAGUUACCAUCAUUAAGUUGGGGACUCUAAGGAGACUGCCGAUGUAAAUCGGAGGAAGGUGGGGAUGACGUCAAAUCAUCAUGCCCUUUACGUCCUGGGCGACACACGUGCUACAAUGGCCGGUACAGAGAGAAGCAAGACCGCGAGGUGGAGCUAAUCCCAUAAAGCCGGUCUCAGUUCAGAUUGAAGUCUGCAACUCGACUUCAUGAAGUCGGAAUUGCUAGUAAUCGCAGAUCAGCCAUGCUGCGGUGAAUACGUUCCCGGGGCU
rnacentral:rRNA from 1 species